UACGUAGGGACCAAGCGUUGUUCGGAUUUACUGGGCGUAAAGGGCGCGUAGGCGGCAAUUCAAGUCAUCUGUGAAAUCUCCGGGCUUAACCCGGAACGGUCAGAUGAUACUGCUUUGCUAGAGUGCGGAAGGGGCAAUCGGAAUUCUCGGUGUAGCGGUGAAAUGCGUAGAUAUCGAGAGGAACACCAGAGGUGAAGACGGGUUGCUGGGCCGACACUGACGCUGAUAGCGCGAAAGCUAGGGGAGCAAACGGG
rnacentral:rRNA from 1 species